ensembl:lncRNA
CUCCACACACACACAACAUCUCUGCACACUGCAUGUAUGAGACAUCCCAGCCCAUGCAAGGCGGCGGCAGAGAGCUUCUCCCAGCACAGGAGGGGCAUCUGCUGGGAGAGCCGCGUAACUACCGGUGGGUGGGGAGGCGUUUUUGURCAAAAAGUUACUCUGAAAAAACAGAAUGAAUGACUGCCGAAUGCAACAUCAAGAGUAAACCACUUCGUCCGCCGGGAGAGCGCAAGCACACCAAGUCUCGCAGGGCAGCGGUUCCCGCUGCUCCUUGGGGCCGCCCGGGUGCCGGGAGGGCUCGGGCCUCACCCGUGUCGCCUCCGCGCCCCAUCACCCCUUCCAGCUCACCCCCAGGCACCGGGUCCCUACAGCACUGUCUGAGCUCUCGCAUGAAAGGCCCAGUGUACGAGCUCAAUAUCAUCACCUGUAACUUGCGGCGGGGUGAGCAACGGGCACGCAGCAAGACCUCCCCAUCCACGCGUGUUCCUCGGGCAGAGGCUGAGCCCCAGGCUACAUGCUGAACCCUCACAGCAUGAUGGACAGUCCCACAAAGCUUAACAUCUAAUAGACAAGAAAGUACAAGGAACAGAGAUGCAGAGGAAUGACGUGCCUAGGGUCCGUGGCAGAACUGAGAUGAGAAUCUCCAUCUCCAGACUCCUGUAGCUAUAGGAUCACACCGUUCCCUAUCAAAAUGUCAGACUGCGGAAAAGAUAAUGUCUUUAGAUUACAGUCGAGUAAGCACCUCACAGCAAGGUAUGGAUGUUAACUACUGUUCUGGAGGGAAAACAAGAAGACUGAACAAAUCUCCUUUAUCUCUUUUUGUCUAGGAUAGAGGGGAAAAAAAUGGYGAAACAGUAAGCUAAAAUCAGAUGCUCCUCAUGGGACCAGUGAGCAGUAUUUGAUGUCCAAGCCAAAAAAUACUUCAAGGGAUGGCAGCAUCGGCGAACAACUUAAAAUUAAGAAGAAAUGCUUCUGCUCCAGCUCAGAUUCCCUGUGGAGGAACGCUACACGGCACCAGGCUCUUUCUCUGUGCUGCACAGUAGCCCAUCUUCUACCAAAUUCAGGCUGACUGGCAAAUGCAAAAAUCAAACAUUUAUGAGUCCGAUGCAUCAGAUCUGUGCACUAUCACUCAUUCAGUAGUACAUUCUAGUGAGGGUGGGUUAUAACAAAAAUGCUCAUGACUGCUGCCAUCCCAGAGGCAGAAGGCUUUGUGUGGGCAAAUUACAGAGUUUUGGGGAACCCCGAAGUUUUCCACCCAUAUAGCACAACCUGGCUCUACUGUCUCUCAUUUUUCCUAACCCAUUAAAAACAAACAUCUUGUUCCUAACCAUAAAAACAGCUAACGGUGAUGAUGGAUGUGUCAGAAUCUUGUUAUCCUUCUUUAUCACCCCAAAUUUGCAAUACCAUCUCUUUCUUUCUUCCCUAGUGAAGCCUUUGCAAAAUCURUCCAGCUAACGAGAAACAAGAAGCUGCAGACCUGGGAAAGGAAUGCUCAAACACAGGUCUUCCCUAUGCUUGAAAAAGCACCAAGAGCUUGUCUACAAAGGAAGGUUAUACUGGCAUACAAAAAGCUUCGAAGAUUAAUCAGUAUAACACACAGAUACAAUCUGACCAUGGAUUCUCUUAUUCCAGUUUAAUUCCUGCUUCUAUGAGGGAGAUUUGAGCUAUAUUCAAAGCCAUUCUGAUAUUAGUAAGAGUAUCCCACCAGUUUAGGGUUAUCAACAGUGUUCCAGCAUAAGUYCCUAGGAUAAACAAGCUUUCCAGUGCUGGAGAGACAAGGUGAAAAUUGAGGAGUGCAUUCCCUUUCAACCUAGGAUGAGAACUGCAAGAGGCUUCCCUAGCAGCCCAGAAAGGCUAGUAGCUUUGAAGGGACACUAAACAAUAAACUUAAUAAAGAAGAAAAAUAUAAAUACA